UACGGAGGGUGCAAGCGUUGUCCGGAAUCACUGGGCGUAAAGGGCGCGUAGGCGGCUCGGUAAGUAGGGGGUGAAAUCCUGCGGCUUAACCGCAGGGCUGCCUUCUAAACUGUCGAGCUUGAGCACGGUAGAGGCAGAUGGAAUUCCCGGUGUAGCGGUGGAAUGCGUAGAGAUCGGGAAGAACAUCAGCGGCGAAGGCGGUCUGCUGGGCCGUUGCUGACGCUGAGGCGCGACAGCGUGGGGAGCAAACAGG
rnacentral:rRNA from 1 species